GUCGAAGGUGGGGCUGAUGACUGGGGUGAAGUCGUAACAAGGUAUCCGUACCGGAAGGUGCGGAUGGAUCACCUCCUAACAGGGAGACAACACAAUGAUUUUGAUGCCUGAGUACUUUUAUUCUUAGGCCGAAAUCCUGUCACCUUAGGUCGAUCGGUACCUCAGCUUUGAAGUCAAGGAUCAGCAGCAAUGUUGAUUGCUUGAUGGAGAUUUUUAGUUCCUAAACUUUGUCUAGGUCACACCCCAAAAGGGAUGAGACUCCUGGGCCAUUAGCUCAGGUGGUUAGAGCGCACCCCUGAUAAGGGUGAGGUCCCUGGUUCAAGUCCAGGAUGGCCCAUUCGGUGUUGGGGGUUUAGCUCAGUUGGUAGAGCGCCUGCUUUGCAAGCAGGAUGUCAGGAGUUCGAGUCUCCUAACCUCCACUGACCGAACUUGAUUCCCAUCUCCAAUUUUUUGGAGUUGAGCUCGAUUGGAGUGUGAUUUAGAUGUGUCCGCUGGAUGACCCCAGCUUCCUGUCAUUCCAAGUUUUAGAUUUUAAGUCUUAAAUUUGGUUGAUAAGAUGCUGGGCUCGGAUCAAAUAAUCAAGCAAUUGAUGAUUUGAUUUGAAGUUCUAGCAGAACCUUGACAACUGCAUAGGUGAAGUCUGGAAAAACAAAGCAUCUUACAGAUGCAUUGUUUUGAAUCUGAUCUUCUGAAAGGGAGAUUGGAUCUAGAACAAUGAAAAUUCUUUUGAGCAAGAGCCGAGACUCUUAAAUGUUCUUUGAUUCGUGUCGAGCGAAUCAGAGUUUGAUCUUGUUUUUAGCAAUAAAAACUUGAGAAUCUGCUUUCAACGGCGGUAAGCGUUUAAGAGGUUAAUUGGUCAAGCUACAAAGGGCUC
rnacentral:misc_RNA from 1 species